AUUGAACGCUGGCGGCAUGCCUUACACAUGCAAGUCGAGCGCGAAAGGGGGCAACCCCGAGUAGAGCGGCGGACGGGUGAGUAACGCAUCGGAACGUGCCCAGUAGUGGGGGACAACCUCGAGAAAUCGAGGCUAAUACCGCAUACGACCCACGGGUGAAAGCGGGGGACCGCAAGGCCUCGCGCUAUUGGAGCGGCCGAUGUCCGAUUAGCUAGUUGGCGGGGUAAGAGCCCACCAAGGCGACGAUCGGUAGCUGGUCUGAGAGGACGACCAGCCACACUGGGACUGAGACACGGCCCAGACUCCUACGGGAGGCAGCAGUGGGGAA
rnacentral:rRNA from 1 species